UACGUAGGCAGCAAGCGUUGUUCGGAAUUACUGGGCGUAAAGAGUGUGUAGGCGGUGCUCUAAGUUCGGUGUGAAAUCUCCCGCUUAACUGGGAGGGUGCGCCGGAAACUGGAGUGCUCGAGCGUGGGAGAGGAAAGCGGAAUUCCUGGUGUAGCGGUGAAAUGCGUAGAUAUCGAGAGGAACACCUGCGGCGAAGGCGGGUUGCUGGGCUGACACUGACGCUGAGAGACGAAAUCUAGGGGAGCAAAUGGG
rnacentral:rRNA from 1 species